UGGUUGCAAUAACCGAAUGGGGUAUUCUUAGGGUUAUAUAGAAAUUCUUUACCAGAUCAUUUCUUUGAUGUUCUUCCCCAAAAUUGUUCAUAUGAUACUCUCUUCUUGACACUUGGAGUUUUGAGGUACCAAGAACUGUAUGCUGACUUCACCUCCCCAUACAGUGAGGAAUAAAUGAUGCAGCUAUGGAAACUGAAGAGCCAUGAUGUCUGUUUUCAUACUGAAAAACAUUAGGCAAGAGGACUGCAGGGGUCAUUAGGAAAAAUAGUUUAGAUUCUGACUGUGGUGUAAAGACAAUGAAUAGGACAUGAUAACUUUGAUGGUGUUUUGUGCACCUCUAGAUAUGCGUAAUGUAAGUGUUUAUGAUAUGUGUUUUACUUUGAGAAAUACAGUAAAAUUCUAUAAAAUUAAUUUGGAAAAAUAGGUACAAUUUUAGUGUCAUACUCUGAGGUUUAAAUGCAUAAUUAUGUUGUAAAUUCUGACAGUUAAUAUAUCCACUUGUGUUCAGCUGAGGUUUAGAACUCAAUUUAAAUUUACUUUAAAUAUAGAGAAUUUUUUGUAUUUUUGCAUCCAGAGGAGUGUAUAUCCAACCUGAUAGAACCUCUUAUAAAUAGAAAUAGCUUUGUUUACAAAUAGAGGAUUAAAAAUUUGACAGCUCCGUAAGAAGUGAAUUAUAUGCUCUGAGUGGAAUUACAAUAUGAGAAGAAUCUAGUAAAAAUAUUCCUGUUGCAUUUAAAUGGUGGCACAGAAAAAUUAGAAUUCAAUUCUAUUUUAAGCUACAUUCAGAUCAGAAUUUACUUUCCUCUCACCCUAUCCUAUGCUGGGUUCCAUCAGGAUGUGUUUUAUUACUAUAUUUUUUAUAGUACCAUCCAGCAAAGAUGAAAUGCUACUGGGUACAAGUCUCUGCUUGAGUGUUGUCAC
rnacentral:lncRNA from 1 species